CCUCCAAGUAGAGGGAAAGGAUAUCUUCGAGAAAGAAAACCGGGGCCGGGUGCGUAAAGGAUUAUACAAUCUUCCUUCCCAUAGGGAUACCCGAAAGAAAUUGAAUUUAUACCUAAUUGGUAUAUGGGAGCGGCAUCGUUUUUAUAUUUAAGCUACGGUGGUGAAAGAAGAAGUAUGCGUUCUAUUAGCUAGUUGGGAGACAUAAAGGCUUCCCCAAGGGCGCCGAUAGAUAGGGGGUUCUGAGAGGGAUAUCCCCCCACACCUGGUACUGAGAUACGGACCCAGACUCCUACGGGGAGGCAGCAAGUGAGGAAUAUUGGACAAAUGGUCGGAAAGACUGAUCCCAGCCAUGCCGCGUGCAGGAUGAAAGGUCCUAUGGAUUGUAAACUGCUUUUGUAAGGGAAGAAUAAGGAGUACGUGUACUUUUGAUGACGGUACCUUACGAAUAAGCAUCGGCUAACUCCGUGCCAGCAGCCGCGGUAAUACGGAGGAAUGCGAGCGUUAUCCGGGAAUCAUUGGGUUUAAAGGGUCCGUAGGCGGGCUGAUAAGUCAGAGGUGAAAGCGCUUAGCUCAACUAAGCAACUGCCUUUGAAACUGUCAGUCUUGAAUGAUUGUGAAGUAGUUGGAAUGUGUAGUGUAGCGGUGAAAUGCUUAGAUAUUACACAGAACACCGAUAGCGAAGGCAUAUUACUAACAAUUUAUUGACGCUGAUGGACGAAAGCGUGGGGAGCGAACAGG
rnacentral:rRNA from 1 species